ACUCAAAUGAAUAGACGGGGACCCGCACAAGCGGUGGAGCAUGUGCUUUAAUUCGAUGCAACGCGUAGAACCUUACCCGGUCUUGACAUAGUUCUGCUAAUCCUAGAGAUAGGGUAUUCAGAAAUGACAGGACAUACAGAUGCUGCAUGGUUGUCGUCAGCUCGUGUCGUGAGAUGUUGGGUUAAGUCCCGCAACGAGCGCAACCCUUGCCAAUAGUUGCCAACAGGUUAUGCUGGGGACUCUAUUGGGACUGCCUUCGCAAGGAGGAGGAAGGUGGGGAUGACGUCAAAUCAUCAUGGCUCUUACGACCGGGGCUAGACACGUGCUACAAUGGCGACUACAAUGAGCUGCUACCUGGCAACAGGAUGCCAAUCUCAAAAAAGUCGUCUCAGUUCGGAUUGAGGUCUGCAACUCGACCUCAUGAAGUAGGAAUCGCUAGUAAUCGCAGGUCAGAAUACUGCGGUGAAUACGUUCCCGGGUCUUGUACACACCGCCCGU
rnacentral:rRNA from 1 species